rnacentral:rRNA from 1 species
AAAAAUAAUUUUUUGUUUUAGUAUUAAAUUUAAAAUUAAUUAAUUUUAAAUUUCAUCUUUAAAGAUUAAAUCUAUAUAAAAAAAGUUAUUUUUAUAUUCUACCUUUUGUAUCAGGGAAAAUUAAAAUAAAAAAUUUAUUUUUUAUCUCGAAUAAAAUAGAAAUAAAUAUAUAUUUAAAAAUUUUUAUUUCAAAAAAAUUUUCAAUAUUUAUUUAGAAGUUAAAUGCUUUCAAUAUUUUUUUAUCUAGUUAAUUUAAAAUUUAAUUUAAUUAAUUUUAUAAGAUUUCAAAUUAUUUUAAAAAAUUAAUUUGCUUUAAAAAUAUAUUUUUUUGGUUAACCAAAAAAAUAUAAUAUUAAUUUAAUUUAAAUUUAUUUAUAUAUUUUUAUAUAUAAAUUUCAAAAUAUAAUUUUAAUUUAAUAAUAAAUUAAUUUAAAAAAUUAAAAUUAUAAAAUAAAAAUGAUUUUAUAAGUAAUUAAUUAAUCUCUUUUUUAAGAAUUAAGCAAAAAUUUUAAUCAAAUGUUUAACAAAAACAUAUUUUAUUUUUAUUUAUAAUAAAUUAAACCUGCCCGGUGAUAUAUUAAACGGUUAUAUAAUAAUACUAAGGUAGCGUAAUAAAUUGUCAUUUAAUUAAUGAAUAUAAUGAAGGUUUAAUGAAUUAAAAACUGUUUUAAAAAUAAAAAAUAAAAUUAAUUAUUAAGUGAAAAAUAAAAAAUAAAAUUAAUUAUUAAGUGAAAAAUCUUAAAUAAUUUUAAAAGACGAUAAGACCCUAUAGAACUUAUUUUAAAUUUAAAUUUACUGGGGAAGUAAAAAUAAAAAAAAAAUUAUUUUAAAAAUUUUAACCUUAAAAGUUUUUAACCAAAAAAUUUGAUUAAAAAGUUACCUUAGGGAUAACAGCAUUAAUAAUAUAAAAAGUUCUUAUUUAAAUAUUUUUUAAUGACCUCGAUGUUGAAUUAAAGUAAACUAAUAAAGUAAAAAUUUUAUUCUGUUUGGUCUGUUCGACCUUUAAAACUUUACAUGAUUUGAGUUCAAACCGACGUAAGUUAGGUUGGUUUCUAUCUUUAAAUUUUUAAAUUUUAUUAGUACGAAAGGACCAUAAAAU